rnacentral:tRNA from 1 species
GGCUGGAUGGCUCAGUUGGUAGAGCACCGGAACAGCAAUCUGGAGGUCAUAGGUUCAAACCCCACUCCAGUCA